ACUCAGCCUCUUAUGAUUGCCGAUUUCCGAUCCAAAAACUGUCUCCUCCACCCCAAUAACUGGCUUCAUAUAUAUUUAUCUUUAAUAUGGUUAAUUAUUGGUGUUUCUUAGCAAUUGUAAUGGGUCAGAAACCGGUAAAUACGAUGCUCUGAGUACGAUAAUCUGGUAACGUUGGGGCCGAGGCUGCGGGUGGCCAGGUGAGCUUUGAACACAGGUGGCAGGUGAGCCGCCCCGCGCCUUCCUUCAUUUCCCUGGUUCACGGAGGGCAGAGGCGAGGCACACGGGUGAGCCUUGGACACAGGAGGACCUUAAAGAACCCGGCCACCCAAGACAGCAGCCAGACACACCAGCGCCGAGCCUCAAGGCCUUGGGGAGUCCACCUUGCAGGCCGACGGGUAUCCGCUCCUCGGGGCACCUCAGCCUGGCGUUAUCUUCAAAUCAGAUCAUCUCUCAGACCCAACAACCCCGCCGUCUCUUCUCCCACCGGCUUCUCCACUCCAACCAGCAUCCACCAGCCCCCUCUGCCCAGUCUUUCUAAUCUGCACUGAUCAGCCUACAUCAUCAGUCUUCCAUCACCAAGGGCAUCCUUUGCUGUUAUUCAUAAGAACAUAGGAAUGUAGGAGUCUGCAAGAGGCUGGUAGGCCUGUACAAGGCAGCUCCUGUGAAUCUAACCCCACCACACAGCCAGGGAAUUAAAGGAAGCUCACCCAGACCUGCUAGGAAAUGUUGCUGCACAAACAUUGCAGGAACAUUGUCAGAAGCACCUCAAGCUGCCACUUAGUUGCCCCACAAAAAAAGCGCCCCUUUGUGUACUAGUACACUAAGGGCAGAAAGUUCUGGAGACAUUAUAUUAUACAGUCUUGCAUGUUAGUAAACGUAUUCCUAAGCUAACGAUCCCAACCAUGUCAAAUUCAAACACCCCUCCACCACCUGCCUCACUCACUGUUAUCCAUAAUAAUUCCAAGAGACCAAGCUGGACAGGGAGGCAUCAGUGUGUUCAUGUACCUCAGUAACUUAGAUGAUAUAAAACUGCAUGACUACAUAUGAGGAGAAAAUAAAUGCUUUGAGAGCAUCAAUCCUAGCGACUGUCUUACACGCUCCAUCAUAAUGAGUAACUUUCUCUGGUUGCAAGUCAUAUAAUUUUCUCCACGAGCAAUAUAUUAGUGUUUGCUGCUCAUUCUGAAUUAGGUGGUGUCUACUAUUUUCAAAAUGGCAGAGAACUAUAGGAACAACACAUUAAAGACCUCUGUUCAUGCUUCCGUUGGUCAUGCAUGUGGGGUGUUCACUGACUUCAUGCUGCACUACGGUGCCUUAGAGUGGUCAAGGACAAAAUGAUUCCACUUAAGAGCUUCAGCCAUCAUUUUGCUCACCUGGAUUUCCUAAUCAUGUAAUGGAUGAGAUCUUUACAAAACUGCAGGAUAAUGACGGAAUCAAUCCCAGCACCACCUCCAUUCUGCAGUAUGCAACAUAGUACCUACACAUGAAAGACGACAAGGGGCUGGUGCUUGUUUGUGCCUUCACCUCAACUUCAGGGAGACCCACUGGUUAGUUCCCUAAGAGGCCAGGCUCAAUACCAGGGAGCCAGAAUGGUCAAUCCAGCACUCCAAGAUCAAGAAGGCACCCAUUUAGGCCAUCUUCUCACUCUUAACACCUGAGGCCAGUACUCUAAUCCCUUCUGCACUAUCUGCAGAAAGAAUGGCCAUGCCUGUUCAUGGUGCUGGUAUAAAGACUUCAUCUCUCCCAACCAGUACUGUUCAUGCCAUAAUUGUCGUGUCCUCCAGACUUGUUCAAAUUCAGGAGAGCUGCGCACCUGGCUUCACCCAAACUACCAUAAAGAGUAACAGUGAAAGGAGGGCGAGGGAGUGUUCAAAGCUUUUCUCUAUACACAGAGCCGGUAGUGUAUAUUAGACGCCCUCCAUCAGAUGCUCGGGGCGAAAUUUUAGAACCUGCUCAUCAGUCUGGGUGCUGCAAAUAAAAGAUAGGUGCAUGCACCAAUAGAGUUCUUAAUAAAGCUGAACAAAACUACUCAACACCUUACAAAGAAGGUCUCACAGUAGCCUCAUCCAUCCAUGGAUGUCAUUUGUGUAAAGACAGACCACAAAGAGACUUUAUUCUGCACUCCAGUUUUAUGUUAUCUAAAGUGAGGCAGUGACUCAUAUCUUCCUCGUCUUCCUGUCCCACUACUAAAGUUUGACAUUAGACGAUGUUUUAGUAAGAUAAGUAUACAUAUACAUACUGUAUGUAUAUAUUUACUGGCUGAACAUGAACCAGACUGCAAAGUCACGCAAAUCAUGGUACCCAACCAUUCUAAGCAGUUUACAUUCCUGUGGUGUAGAAUACACUAUGGCAGUGUUCUCUAUCCCUUUUUGCUGUGAUCCAUCCCUAUUGUCCAACCUGGACAGGUGGGCAACUCCUCUGCACACUUGGGUCAUGGCUGAUGCAGGAAUUAGAUUGUAUGGGAAAAUUUGCUUAUAUUAACAAAUCUCCACUUUACUACGAGUAGAUGAUUGAGAACCGAGUCCCUCCUUACUUUCAGUCCUGUCUUGCUCUCGGACCCACCAAUUUGAGACAAUGACAGACAUGAGCAAGACAGCAGUGAGCCUCAGAGUAUCAGCAUCUACUCUGAUAACAUGUCCAAACCGUCUCAGAGAACCACACAUUACCCAUUCGGUCCACAGUCCACUUCCCUUGCUGUCACACAUCCUCAUCCAUUCAUAUCAUGUCCAAACCAUUUUACACUACUGCACCUCGCCAUUACAUCCAGAGUUUCUAAUUUUUUCCCCUAUGUUUCAGGGAAAGUGGGAGCUCAGCUGGAACGAAGAUUGCACAAGAUAGAAAGAAAUUAGUUGAGCUUCAGCUCCGUGGUGUCUGGACAGCAAGCUAGUAACAUCGGCUCACACGGACUUCCUACCUUAAAUGCCUGUUGUCCUCUUUGGUGCCAGUAAAAAUUUGUAAGAACGGACAAAAGCAUGUAUAGUAUAUAGGUUCAGCACCAAUAUACUUUCAUCAGCAUGCCAGAAGGAGGACAGCACGCAUGCCCAGCAGGGAGUCAGUGCACGCUGCUCGGCUGUGAAGAAACAGGCGUCCAGUCUUGGAGCUGUCGCUAUUCUCCCACUAUAUAGGUGGUGGUGCUGCAGGAGUUGUGACGAGGUGUCUGAAACCUCCACCAGUGUAUCCCUUAUCAGAUGUGGCAACUCUUCAUCCGGUAGACCUAGAGGACCCAUCUGUUUGGGGAGAGGGGAUGGCAAGUAUAAA